rnacentral:rRNA from 1 species
UACGUAGGGUGCGAGCGUUGUCCGGAAUUAUUGGGCGUAAAGGGCUCGUAGGCGGUUUGUCGCGUCGGGAGUGAAAACCUUGGGCUUAACUCAGGGCUUGCUUUCGAUACGGGCAGACUAGAGGUAUGCAGGGGGGAACGGAAUUCCUGGUGUAGCGGUGAAAUGCGUAGAUAUCGAGAGGAACAUCAGUUGCGAAGGCGGCUCUCUGGACCAGCACUGACACUGAGGCACGAAAGCGUGGGGAGCAAACAGG